rnacentral:misc_RNA from 1 species
GAUGAAGAACCGUAGCGAAAUGCGAUAAGUAAUGUGAAUUGCAGAAUUCAGUGAAUCAUCGAAUCUUUGAACGCACCUUGCACCCUUUGGCAUUCCGAAGGGUAUGCUCGUUUGAGUGUCAUUGUACUCUCACUCUCCCGAUCUUUGGAUCGGGAGUGGUGGACUUGGGUGUUGCUGCUUUACCGUGGCUCACCUCAAAUGGAUUCGUGCAACUCCUGGUUGGACAUAGUACGGCGUGAUAAGUGUCUUCGCCGGCACCUCACUAGAGGGUGGCUGACCGGGAGCUCUGUGCUUCAAACCGUCUUCGGACAACAACUGACAACUUGACCUCAAAUCGAGUAGGACCACCCGCUGAACUUAAGCAUAUCAAUAAGCGGAGGA